UACGUAGGGGGCUAGCGUUGUCCGGAAUCAUUGGGCGUAAAGAGCGUGUAGGCGGCCCGGUAAGUCCGCUGUAAAAGUCAAAGGCUCAACCUUUGAAUGUCAGUGGAUACUGCCGGGCUAGAGUCCGGAAGAGGCGAGUGGAACUCCUGGUGUAGCGGUGGAAUGCGCAGAUAUCAGGAAGAACACCAACGGCGAAGGCAGCUCGCUGGGACGGUACUGACGCUGAGACGCAAAAGCGUGGGGAGCGAACAGG
rnacentral:rRNA from 1 species